CUCGCUGCCUCUGAACACGCCUUCCCCCUCUGCUCUUCCUUUGUCUUCGGACAAUAGUAACAUAGCUUCCGCCGGCACCCUGGUAACCAACACCACUGGAAGUGGUCGUCGUUAACCUGGGCCGCGACCGAUCCGAUUUCAGGACGCUGUGCAGCGUGUGUGCUACAGCGAGUAUUACGCAACAAGCAGACUUCUGGGAGAUCCGGAUCCAGCCCAAGUGUAAUACUAAUCAUCAGGAUGGAGAUGCCACCUCGGCCAAAACUAUAUGACUUCCAUGGAGUCUCCAUGACCAAGAUGUUCACUGACAACUGGGAUAACAUACAGAACUUCAAAGCAAGACCAGAUGAUAUUGUCAUUGCUACUUACCCUAAAGCAGGAACCACGUGGGUCUCUUACAUGCUAGAUCUUCUGUAUUUUGGGCACAUGGGUUCAGACCGUCAGACAUCCAUCCCUCUUUAUGACAGAGUGCCCUUUCUGGAGCUCUACGUACCUUUUCUACCUUCAGGUUGAAUCUUGUGACCACCUUCAAUUAGCCAUAUUUGUAUUAGACCAGAACCAAAAGGUCCAUCCCUCCCUAUUCAUGAACGAGUGCCCUUCCUGGAGCUCUGCGUACCUCCUAUGCUUAUAGGUUGAACUAUGUUGCCACUCUGAAUUUAAAAUACACCAGAAUAAAAAGCGCUAGGUACCAAGUUUAUGUCCGUGUGCUCAGUUCAUUCAGAGGAUUAUUGCAAGUCACCAGUUUUUAGAAACUGUGCUGAAAACAGGUCUAACCUGUUGCAUUCUGUUCGUUUGCAUGCAUCUUUCUCUGCCAAAUGCUGAAAAGGAAGCUACAAAAUGUAAAAGGUCCUAAAAGGUAGCAGUUUUAUUAGUGUGUAAAUGUGUUAGGUGAAUCAGAAUAUCUCAGAAACACCUUAGAAUUUUUUAGGCAAUCGGUUUUAUUGUUCUGUGGUAUCUAAAUAAGUCUAAUGUUGCAUGUCUGUGAAGGUUCUCAGUCAUCCAG